CUGUGCAUAAGGUCAAUUGCACUCCAGGUUCCAGUCUGGGGCAAAACCUGUGCCCAGACUGGAUCAUUUUCGGUCUCCAAUCCUUGUUCCAACUGGUCUGGUGGUGCUGAACGUCUGACAGCAUCGGUCCCGAACCGGCGGCAUCAACACGCGUCUGCCGUGAUUAAACUUCUCCACAGUUGUUCUAUGAAAACCCCCAAAAGCUGUGAAGUGAUCCAUAUGGUUGUUUCUUCUUUGGUUUGAAAGAUUAAAAGGUAAGCAACGGGAGGGUUUUAGUCUCGGCAUAUUUGUCCUCCGACUGCAACUGCUAGUGCCGUGGAGAAUUAAACAAGACAGGGCAAACGUGUGAAUGUUCAGGCUAUUGUAUGCAAACAAAUAAAAUCUUAGUUGUAACCCUAUAUUUACAGAAGGCAUAAUUCUCAUUGUGUAGAAGCAUGAGACCAAGACAAUCUUCUGUUCGUGAACAGUUGUAUUUCAUUCAUUAACCUGACGUUGCAUCCAUGCAUUUAAUUGCCAUUUGCUGGCGUGAUGGUAAUAUAUAUUUCAGUAGUAUUUUAAAUGAUAUAGUGAUUCUAUAAACAACUAUAAGAGAUAAUUUUCGUCUUUCUCCAGCUCCCUGCACCGGCGUAAAGCGUAACCGGAAGUGUCCAGCCGCACACAUCAGAAAUCCAAAAUGGCGGCCACGUGCAACCGCGUGUAACUAGCCGCGAUCAAAUCUCCUCCUUCAGUGAUGCUCCACCUCCUCCUGUGAAGCUCCUCCCACUGCAGUUCACCAAUAAACGCUGGAAUAUUCCUCUCAGCUACAAGUGAAGAUGAGCAUCAAACCAUGAGGAAGAGCUGAAAUCUACAAACACAGAGUUUAUUGAAGGACACUGAGAACAUGAGAUCCAGAACACUGCAGAAUGAAACACACUGAAGAACAAAGAGUGCUGCGUUUAUGAAUUGCUGCGCUGACAAUCAAGCACUUGGCAUAAAAAAAGUGAGUCAUGAUGGAAGGAACAGCCAAUCAGACACUUAUUUCUUAGUUGGAGGUUGAAUAGAAUUAAAAACCAUGAUGGACAAAAGUGAGAACUUUCUCUAUACUUUUGGAUGCCUUGAGUGAAAGAGCGCCGUACUCCCUGCGAUACUGUGAUUGAACCCGGAGCCCGGCUGGGGGCUGGCAGCACUGAUGUAAUUUCCCACAGCUGAGUCCUGACUGCUGGGGCCAUACAGGUUUGACACGGGUCCAGGACUGUUUGCACCGGGGAAACCUCCAGGUCGGGGAGGGUUAGCACCUGUACAGGACACACACACACACCUGAUCCACGAUGCAUCAAAUGUCAGUCACUAAGGUGGCAGAAACAGCUUCCAGCACAGAGAAUCAUGGGAAAGAAUACAUACACUGCCGUUCAAACGCCGUUCACUCAGGUCUAAGUCCCAUGGCCC